UAUAUAUAUAUAUAUAUAUAUAUAUAUAUAUAUAUAGCGAAGGCGAUUUGGCCACCUAUUUCAAAUGCUACAAAGAAGAUGGUGAAAAAAGAUGUUUCAUUAGACUCCACCAGGUUGACAAAAGUGAGGUCGAGGUCGUUACAGCAUACGACAGAGAGGCUUUAACAAGGACGUAGGGAUCAACUCAUUUAUACCAGUUUCACAUAAAACUUUGAUAAAUAAAGACCGCUUCAACAAGAAAUAAUCUACAAGAAGAAGAGGAAGAUAAUUAUUAGGAGACCAUAAGAGACUGUUUGUCAUAACAAGAAAGCUGACUUUACUUAGUAACAAGUCAUUUACUUCACAGACACACACUAGACUACAAAUCAACCUUGUGUGUCAAAUGGGUGUAUGACCAAGUUCUACGUAUUUUGAAAAUGUUUACUUGUUUAUUAAAGAUGUUGUGUAAUAUGACAUUGAAGCAGCAUUACAGGAUGCCACCUCUGCAACUUUUAAAGUUAUAUCAUCGUUUCUAUUGCAGCAUGAGCGUUUAUUCACGGCCUGGUAACUUUCUGAAUAUACUAAAAUACCAUUAAAAGAAUAGGUACUCAAAUACAUUCAAAAAUUGAAAUUGUUAAAACUUCUAGGUUUGAAAUAUAUGAUGUUAUAUCAAAGAUAUAAAGAUAAUUUAUCAUUAAUCAUGUCCCUAAUAAAAGGGUGCAUGAUACAGACCGUUUUUCUUUUGAUUAGAGAUAUGAGAGACUGUAGGAGUGCUAAAAUUGGCAACGUUGCUGUAUUUUAAUUUGUUAAGAUGUUCCGAUGUUAAGACCAAAAUUGAUCAUUCACCUAAAAGUUGAUCUUCGUUUUCGGUAUAACGUAAUUUUAGGGGUUGCUGCCGCUCGCAUAUAAUGUUGUGUUGUUGAAAUCAUUUGUUGAAUUCAAUUAAUUUGUCAACUGAAUUUGAUUACUUUUGUAAUUUCCAAGAUAUUUCUGGUGAACAGCUCCAUUUGGACAUUUUAUAUAACGUUUUACCUAUUGUAACCGGGCCAUUGAGAUUAUCACGCAAUAAUACAAUGAUAUGAAUAGUCCUAAUGAAUACAUAAUUAUCCAAUAAAUUAGUAUGAUAAUGUACAAACAGCACAAUUUUAAUUGUUUUUUAUUUAAUUUUGUGAAUAAUAAAUAUUCAAACCUU
rnacentral:lncRNA from 1 species